rnacentral:rRNA from 1 species
GCCGAUCAGGUUGUUGGUGGGGUAAUGGCCCACCAAGCCUAUAACCGGUGCGGGCUCUGAGAGGAGGAGCCCGGAGAUGGGCACUGAGACAAGGGCCCAGGUCCUAUGGGGCGCAGCAGGCGCGAAACCUCCGCAAUGGGCGAAAGCCCGACGGGGUUAGUCCGAGUGACUCUUGCUGAAGGAGUCUUUUGCCAGCUNNNNNAAAGCNNNAGAAUAAGGGGUGGGCAAGUUUGGUGUCAGCCGCCGCGGUAAUACCAGCACCCCGAGUGGUCGGGACGAUUAUUGGGCCUAAAGCAUCCGUAGCCGGUCUAACAAGUCCUCCGUUAAAUCCAACGGCUCAACCGUUGGGCUGCGAGGGAUACUGUUAGACUAGGGGGCGGGAGAGGCGAAGGGUAUUCCCAGGGUAGGGGUAAAAUCCACUGAUCCUGGGAGGACCACCAGUGGCGAAAGCGUCUCGCUAGAACGCGCCCGACGGUGA